AGCGAACGCUGGCGGCAGGCUUAACACAUGCAAGUCGAACGAGCACUUCGGUGCUAGUGGCAGACGGGUGAGUAACACGUGGGAACGUACCUUUCGGUUCGGAAUAAUUCAGGGAAACUUGGACUAAUACCGGAUAAGCCCUUCGGGGGAAAGAUUUAUCGCCGAUAGAUCGGCCCGCGUCUGAUUAGCUAGUUGGUGAGGUAAUGGCUCACCAAGGCGACGAUCAGUAGCUGGUCUGAGAGGAUGAUCAGCCACACUGGGACUGAGACACGGCCCAGACUCCUACGGGAGGCAGCAGUGGGGAAUAUUGGACAAUGGGCGAAAGCCUGAUCCAGCCAUGCCGCGUGUGUGAUGAAGGCCUUAGGGUUGUAAAGCACUUUUGUCCGGGAAGAUAAUGACUGUACCGGAAGAAUAAGCCCCGGCUAACUUCGUGCCAGCAGCCGCGGUAAGAC
rnacentral:rRNA from 1 species